GAUAUUUAGAAGGUAAAGCAGAAAGGAUGUGGCGCUGGGUGAAUGUGGGGGGUGAGGGGAAGGAAGCAUGGAGGACACAUGGCUCCCGGCCCAGAAAGGAAUUUGGCUCAGUUGCAGCGCUUUCCUGUAUGAGCAGCAGCUAAGGCGACCUGAACCCUUGGCGGCCGCCAGACGUCUGGACAGUCUGUUCACACCAACUCUGCCUGGCAACCUAUCGGUCACUGUCCUCGAGGACCAAAGGCCUGCGUGGGCUUCUGACAUGCUGACGGGGUCCUCUCACGAUGCCCCCCCUUCCCCAAGGAGUGUGGAUUCUGUUCAAAUUUCAAGGAUCACUUUCAGUUUUUCAUAAUUUCCAUAGAUUUCAUAUGGUCAAAUGAAGCCCUUACUCGUUUGGAGAACAGGAAACCACAAGCCAGUUCCACCUUGGGCACGAGUGUAUAUGCAUGUGUAUAUGUGUGUGUGUGUGUGUGCACAUAUGUGUGUGUGUUCAACAUGUGGACAAUAGUACACAUACAUUUUUCAUUCUUAUUUCAUUCAUUAUAAGGCAUAAAAAGUUACUAAGUUGGAUUUUUUCUUUACUAUCCUCAUCCACAUAGAUUAAAUUGAACACCUUAGAGUUGACAGUUUAGAUAGACGAAGCUGGAACACAAAUUCCUGACCGUUUUGCAAAUUGAAUGGAAUUAAGCUAAGACUCAUAGGUAGGUCUUUCAUUGGACACUGUUUCAGCAAGGUCAGAAAGAGAAGAUUGAAAGAUCCUAUUUUGAACUAAUCUAAGUCUUUCCAGGUGUCAAGCUUUAUGACCAGAAUCUCUAAGCCCAGAGUCACGUGUUGUGACAGAAUUCUGAGAUGGGCCCUGAGAGUCCCGCCCCUAGUGUGUGCCGGGCCCCUUCCUGGACCAUGGGCAGGACCCGUGAGCAUGAUGGUUGUCACUCCUGAGAUUAGGUUAUGCCACAUGGCAAAGGCGAAGGGAUUUUGCAGGUGUAUUUAAGGUCCCAAAUGAGUUGAUUUUGAGUUUAUGGGAAGCGAGAUUAUUCUGGAUGGGCCUGACGUAAUCAGGGGCACCCUUUAAAAGCCAGUCUGGAGGUCAGCGCCUCGCAGCAAUAGAGGGAUGCGCCCCUGCUGGCCUGGAAGAAGGAAACAGCCGCAUGGUGAAAUGCCUAUGAGGAGGGGUGGCCUGGGAGCUGAGGUUCCCAGCCCUACAGCUGCGAGGAGCUCAGUUCUGCCACCUGCCUGAGGGAGCGUGGAAGGGGGUUCUGAGCCUCUCGGGGAGAUGCCAGCCUGCUGACACUUUGUGAGCCCCUGCAGAGAGAACCCAGCCACACUGAGGCUGGACUCCUGACCCACGGAAACUGCGGGCUAAUAACUAGCUGUUAUUUUCAGCUGGAUGAAAACAGCCUUGGGCAAUAUGUGAAUGAACGGACGUGGCUGCGUUCCAAUAAGAUGGACGUGCAGACCAGGCGGCGGGCCUGCAGUUCCCGCUCCAGGACAGAAGACUAAAGAGAUAAAACAACCAAAUCUUGAUUGGAUCCUAGUUUGAAAGAAACAGCUAUAAAAGGUGUUUUGGGCUAAUUAGGAAAAUUAGGGAUGCCUAUUAAAUACCGAUAUUAAAUAACAACUGUUAGUUUGCGUAGGUGUGUGUGGUUACGUAGGAGAAUGACCUGGUUCCUAAGAGACUCAUCCUGAAGUACUUGGGGGCUGAGGUGUCUUGGUGUGACCAGCGCUGGAAGUGGAUGAGGACAGCGAGGGAAGUUUCUGCAAGAGCAGGGUCAGGUCCCGUUUUUGUUUAAAAUGUUAGCAUUUUGUUCAUCAUGGAUUUUUUAUUCAUUUUGAUUGCCUUAAAAAUAUGGUAAUAAAAUAUUAUUUAUCCUGAUUGCUGAGGUUUUGGGUGCCCUUCUAACCUUUGUGCCCAGAGGACUACCUCCCUCCCGUCACCCUAGCCCGGGCCUCACUUUGAAAGGGUCUAGCAGACGAUUGACAGCGAUACGACAAUCCUGGAACCUUGGUGGACCUGACUGUGGCUGUUGAGCAUGCGUUGUAUAUACAUUCCCUAUGGCAAGAACAAA